UUUAGGAUUAGAGGAGAUUUUUUGUUCAACUAUUGAUUUAUCUUACUUAUACUUUGUGUUGUCUAUUAUAAUUUGUUUUUGUGGAGUAGUAAAUCAAUUUGUAAAUUAUAAUAAUUCACGUAACUGUACCCUUGUUGCUUUACCAGACCUGCAUUAUAGAGCAAAGUCUUUCUAAACCACUCUGACAUUGGCAACUCACGGAGCUAGCCAU